GAUGAACGCUGGCGGCGUGCCUAAUACAUGCAAGUCGAGCGAACGGACGAGAAGCUUGCUUCUCUGAUGUUAGCGGCGGACGGGUGAGUAACACGUGGAUAACCUACCUAUAAGACUGGGAUAACUUCGGGAAACCGGAGCUAAUACCGGAUAAUAUUUUGAACCGCAUGGUUCAAAAGUGAAAGACGGUCUUGCUGUCACUUAUAGAUGGAUCCGCGCUGCAUUAGCUAGUUGGUAAGGUAACGGCUUACCAAGGCAACGAUGCAUAGCCGACCUGAGAGGGUGAUCGGCCACACUGGAACGGAGACACGGUCCAGACUCCUACGGGAGGCAGCAGUAGGGAAUCUUCCGCAAUGGGCGAAAGCCUGACGGAGCAACGCCGCGUGAGUGAUGAAGGUCUUCGGAUCGUAAAACUCUGUUAUUAGGGAAGAACAUACGUGUAAGUAACUGUGCACAUCUUGACGGUACCUAAUCAGAAAGCCACGGCUAACUACGUG
rnacentral:rRNA from 1 species